CUACGGAGGGUGCAAGCGUUGUCCGGAUUUAUUGGGUUUAAAGGGUGCGUAGGUGGUUUAUUAAGUCAGUGGUGAAAUCCUGCAGCUUAACUGUGGAACUGCCAUUGAUACUGGUAAACUUGAGUACUAUUGAGGCAGGCGGAAUUUAUGGUGUAGCGGUGAAAUGCAUAGAUACCAUAAAGAACACCGAUAGCGAAGGCAGCUUGCUUAGCAGUAACUGACACUGAUGCACGAAAGCGUGGGUAGCGAACAGGAUUAGAAACCCUAGUAGUCC
rnacentral:rRNA from 1 species